AGUGAACGCUGGCGGUAGGCCUAACACAUGCAAGUCGAACGGCAGCACAGUAAGAGCUUGCUCUUACGGGUGGCGAGUGGCGGACGGGUGAGGAAUACAUCGGAAUCUACUUUUUCGUGGGGGAUAACGUAGGGAAACUUACGCUAAUACCGCAUACGACCUACGGGUGAAAGCAGGGGAUCUUCGGACCUUGCGCGACUGAAUGAGCCGAUGUCGGAUUAGCUAGUUGGCUGGGUAAAGGCCCACCAAGGCGACGAUCCGUAGCUGGUCUGAGAGGAUGAUCAGCCACACUGGAACUGAGACACGGUCCAGACUCCUACGGGAGGCAGCAGUGGGGAAUAUUGGACAAUGGGCGCAAGCCUGAUCCAGCCAUACCGCGUGGGUGAAGAAGGCCUUCGGGUUGUAAAGCCCUUUUGUUGGGAAAGAAAAGCAGCAGGUUAAUACCCCGUUGUUCUGACGGUACCCAAAGAAUAAGCACCGGCUAACUUCGUG
rnacentral:rRNA from 1 species